rnacentral:rRNA from 1 species
AUUGAACGCUGGCGGCAUGCUUUACACAUGCAAGUCGAACGGCAGCGCGGGCUUCGUCCUGGCGGCGAGUGGCGAACGGGUGAGUAAUACAUCGGAACGUGCCCAGCAGUUGGGGAUAGCUCGGCGAAAGCCGGAUUAAUACCGCAUACGACCUGAGGGUGAAAGCGGGGGAUCUUCGGACCUCGCGCUAUUUGAGCGGCCGAUGGCAGAUUAGCUAGUUGGUUGGGUAAAGGCCUACCAAGGCGACGAUCUGUAGCUGGUCUGAGAGGACGACCAGCCACACUGGGACUGAGACACGGCCCAGACUCCUACGGGAGGCAGCAGUGGGGAAUUUUGGACAAUGGGCGAAAGCCUGAUCCAGCAAUGCCGCGUGUGUGAUGAAGGCCUUCGGGUUGUAAAGCACUUUUGGCGGGAACGAAAAGGACUGUGCCAAUACCACGGUUCGAUGACGGUACCCGCAGAAUAAGCACCGGCUAACUACGUG